GAUGAAGAACGUAGCGAAAUGCUAUAAGUAAUGUGAAUUGCAGAAUUCAGUGAAUCAUCGAAUCUUUGAACGCACAUUGCGCCCUCUGGUAUUCCGGGGGGCAUGCCUGUUCGAGCGUCAUUAUAACCACUCAAGCUCUCGCUUGGUAUUGGGGCUCGCGGUUCCGCGGCCCCUAAAAUCAGUGGCGGUGCCUGUCGGCUCUACGCGUAGUAAUACUCCUCGCGAUUGAGUCCGGUAGGUCUACUUGCCAACAACCCCCAAUUUUUACAGGUUGACCUCGGAUCAGGUAGGGAUACCCGCUGAACUUAAGCAUAUCAAUAAGCGGAGGA
rnacentral:misc_RNA from 1 species